GACGAACGCUUGCGGCGUGCUUAACACAUGCAAGUCGAACGGAAAGGCCCUGCUUUUGUGGGGUGCUCGAGUGGCGAACGGGUGAGUAACACGUGAGUAACCUGCCCUUGACUUUGGGAUAACUUCAGGAAACUGGGGCUAAUACCGGAUAGGAGCUCCUGCUGCAUGGUGGGGGUUGGAAAGUUUCGGCGGUUGGGGAUGGACUCGCGGCUUAUCAGCUUGUUGGUGGGGUAGUGGCUUACCAAGGCUUUGACGGGUAGCCGGCCUGAGAGGGUGACCGGCCACAUUGGGACUGAGAUACGGCCCAGACCCCUACGGGAGGCAGCAGUGGGGAAUAUUGCACGAUGGGCGGAAGCCUGAUGCAGCAACGCCGCGUGCGGGAUGACGGCCUUCGGGUUGUAAACCGCUUUCGCCUGUGACGAAGCGUGAGUGACGGUAAUGGGUAAAGAAGCACCGGCUAACUACGUGCCAGCAGCCGCGGUGAUACGUAGGGUGCGAGCGUUGUCCGGAUUUAUUGGGCGUAAAGGGCUCGUAGGUGGUUGAUCGCGUCGGAAGUGUAAUCUUGGGGCUUAACCCUGAGCGUGCUUUCGAUACGGGUUGACUUGAGGAAGGUAGGGGAGAAUGGAAUUCCUGGUGGAGCGGUGGAAUGCGCAGAUAUCAGGAGGAACACCAGUGGCGAAGGCGGUUCUCUGGGCCUUUCCUGACGCUGAGGAGCGAAAGCGUGGGGAGCGAACAGGCUUAGAUACCCUGGUAGUCCACGCUGUAAACGGUGGGUACUAGGUGUGGGGUCCAUUCCACGGGUUCCGUGCCGUAGCUAACGCUUUAAGUACCCCGCCUGGGGAGUACGGCCGCAAGGCUAAAACUCAAAGGAAUUGACGGGGCCCCGCACAAGCGGCGGAGCAUGCGGAUUAAUUCGAUGCAACGCGUAGAACCUUACCUGGGUUUGACAUGGAUCGGGAGUGCUCAGAGAUGGGUGUGCCUCUUUUGGGGUCGGUUCACAGGUGGUGCAUGGCUGUCGUCAGCUCGUGUCGUGAGAUGUUGGGUUAAGUCCCGCAACGAGCGCAACCCUUGUUCACUGUUGCCAGCACGUUAUGGUGGGGACUCAGUGGAGACCGCCGGGGUCAACUCGGAGGAAGGUGGGGAUGACGUCAAGUCAUCAUGCCCCUUAUGUCCAGGGCUUCACGCAUGCUACAAUGGCUGGUACAGAGAGUGGCGAGCCUGUGAGGGUGAGCGAAUCUCGGAAAGCCGGUCUCAGUUCGGAUUGGGGUCUGCAACUCGACCUCAUGAAGUCGGAGUCGCUAGUAAUCGCAGAUCAGCAACGCUGCGGUGAAUACGUUCCCGGGGCU
rnacentral:rRNA from 1 species